rnacentral:tRNA from 1 species
GUGGGCGUAGCUCAAUUGGCAGAGCGAAUGACUGUGGAUCAUUAGGUUGAGGGAUCGUGCCCCUUCGCCCACC